rnacentral:lncRNA from 1 species
GAGCCAAGAACCAUGGCGAGUAGUGAAUGGGAAGUCCUCCCAAUUGGCAGAAUUGGGGUAUCAUUAAAUAAUAUUUUUCACUAUCAGCGUAGGCCUGGCUGGGUUUCAGAAUUGCUAUGCAGCGCUUUGUAUCUCACAGUCUUUCCCCUUACUUAAUGAGGAUGCUGUUGUUGUUAUCCUAUCCCUCUCCCACCAUUGUAUAAUGGGUGUAUAAGAGAUAGAUAAUUUUUAUUUACACUUACAGGUCUGCAGACUAAGAGGAGCCAUGCCCAGACAUGAUAAAAAGAUUAUGGAGCACCACUCACAGAUCCUGGACUCAACAAUGGAUGCAGUCACUGGAUGGAACUUUUGGAUGGAACUAUGAACUUUUCUGGCAUUCUUGUGGUGGGAUGGUGCCUUGUGACUAGUUCUGACCAAUGAGUUGUGAGCAGAAGUGAAGUGUGGCCAGAGCACUUAAUUGCCAACUAGAAACUUCCAGAGUUUCUUUCCCACUUCUUCAAUGAUUGUGAAGUGAUGUUCCCACAAAGCUUUCAUUCCUGAGUUCCUGAGAGACUACAGAAGGAUGCAAAUCAGAGACCUCUGCUGACUCACCUGAAAACAUGGGCAAG